rnacentral:rRNA from 1 species
AAUGAACGUUGGCGGCGUGGAUUAGGCAUGCGAGUCGAGCGCGAACCGUAGCAAUACGGGGAGAGCGGCGAAAGGGAGAGUAAUACGUGGAUACCUGCCCUCGGGUUCGGGAUAGCUACGGGAAACUGUAGGUAAUACCGAAUAACAUCUUCGGAGCAAAGGUGUGAUUCCGCCCGGGGAGGGGUCCGCGUCCUAUUAGCUAGUUGGUGAGGUAACGGCACACCAAGGCGAAGAUGGGUAUGGGGUGUGAGAGCAUGACCCCACUCACUGGGACUGAGACACUGCCCAGACACCUACGGGUGGCUGCAGUCGAGAAUCUUCGGCAAUGGGGGAAACCCUGACCGAGCGACGCCGCGUGCGAGAUGAAGGCCUUCGGGUUGUAAAUCGCUGUCAGAGGGGAGGAAAUGCCGGGAAGUAAUUCAUAAUCAACUCGGUUUGACCUAGCCUCAGAGGAAGGACGGGCUAAGUUCGUGCCAGCCGCCGCGGUAA